ensembl:lncRNA
AGAGAAGAGAGUGAGGUAAGGAGAGGGAGGAGGGCUGGAGAGAAGAGAGAGGAGAGAAGAGGGAGGAGGACUGGAGAGAAGAGAGUGAGGUAAGGAGAGGGAGGAGGGCUGGAGAGAAGAGAGAGGAGAGAAGAGGGAGGAGGGCUGGAGAGAAGAGAGAGGAAAGGAGAGGGAGGAGGGCUGGAGAGAAGAGAGUGAGGUAAGGAGAGGGAGGAGGGCUGGAGAGAAGAGAGAGGAGAGGAGAGGGAGGAGGGCUGGAGAGAAGAGAGAGAGGAGAGGAGAGGGAGGAGGGCUGGAGAGAAGAGAGUGAGCCCUCCAGGACCUAACUGGCAGCGCUGAGCCCAGCUGGAGUGCCUGACCCUGGGGCAUGGCCAUGGAGGCACCCCCCUCUCUCCCCUACACCUCCCAGGAGCCCUGGACUGCUCUGGCGUGAAGAGGACUGGCAAGCUUUUAACAACAGCCCUGCGCCAGGCAACUAGAGCUGGAAGAGUCACUUAGCAACCAACCCCAUUGUCCUGGGAGGAGAGAAAGAGGAGGGAGAGAGAGGGGGAUGGGG